rnacentral:lncRNA from 1 species
GCCUUUUGCAGGUUUUCUUUACUGGAGUAUAAGAAAUUUUGUAAUUUGCCCAUUAAAGAUGCUGCAGUUGCACUUGCAGAAAGUGGCAAGAUUGGGGCAUUAAACCUUCUCUUUAAGCGUCAUCCUUACUCCUUAACUUCCUCAUUUAUUAAAGAUGCUGCAGUUGCAAUUGCAGAAAGUGGCAAGAUUGGGGUAUUAAACCUUCUCUUUAAGCGUCAUCCUUACUCCUUAACUUCCUCAUUGUUGGAUGUCUUAGCUGCUAUUCCUGAGACGCUUCCGGUGCAGACUUAUGGACAGCUCCUUCCUGGGAGCUCCCCUCCUCCAAGUAUUUCUUUGAGG